CAAAGGUCGUUCUUCCGUUUUAAAUCGCUAGUGGUUGCCAGGGGCGCUCGGAACUGAAGGCGUGUGGUCAACCUGUCCCAAGAUUGUCGACUGGGUAAUUUUAUGGCGAGCCGGACUGUCUGAACCCUGGUUUGAUGGGUCCCUAUCAGAGAGCGUUUGUCCCAGGCUCUCCUCGCUGUCCACCCGCCCGGCUGUUAGCUGUAUUCCCCGCUCUUCCGGCUCUGGCGCAGACUUCCCUCCAGGUGCUGUGACUGCCUGCAGGACUGAACUUGGGAAAUGCUUGCGUCUGCACCGGUGCUGUGAGCGAGUCCAUUCACUUCAGCUCACCCUUCCCAUGGCUCGUUUGUUGAGAAAAGUUGGGCAAAUAGAAGCAUUUGCUGAACACCAGGAGGAGAAGGGGAUGACAGAGGAUGAGAUGGCUCGAUGGCAUCACUGACUCGAUGGAUGUGAGUCUGAGUGAACUCCGGGAGAUGGUGAUGGACAAGGAGGCCUGGCGUGCUGCAAUUCAUGGGGUCGCAAAGAGUCGGACACAACUGAGUGACUGAACUGAACUGAACUGAACUGAACAUCCCUCAGCAAUUCACACUUCCAUGCCUUUGUUUAUGUAAGAAUGUUUUAUCUGUGUCACUGGUUCCAGAAAAAAAUAGAAAUAUUUAAAUCAUUGUUUCACA
ensembl:lncRNA